GCAGUGCUCCGGCUCGUCGCUGGCAUCGCUUCAGAUGCGAGAGGAAAGUCCGGGCAGCAAAGGACACUUCACUUCCGAAAAUAGAAGCUAUUGGCAACAGUAGGUGUAGGCAGAAGAAAAUAACCGCCGCUCCUCGUGGGCGGUAAGGGUGAGAAGGUGGUGUAAGAGACCACCAGCCGGCGGGUGAUCGUCGGGCUGUGCCGUCUGGGGGCUGCAAGUUCAUGUAAACUAUCGUCAUGUCAGGGUUGUCCGCCCGAUGCUACUUUGAUGGCAACGAUAGAGGGUAGAACGCUUGAGUGAUGGGGUGACUCAUCAACUAGAUAAAUGACAGAGCACCGUCUUUUCCUGAGAACAGACGGUUACGGAACCCGGCUUAUCAGGGCACUGCCUUA
rnacentral:RNase_P_RNA from 1 species